AGGUGGGCGUGGCUGCCCAGCCUCGCGGCCUUUGCAGCCUGGAGACCGCAGCCCGCCGGCGCCCCGCUCGCACUGCCGCCGCCGCCUCUUGCGGCAGUUGCGGGGUGCGGCGCCGGUGCCAACCUCUUGCAGAGCUGGGCGCCUCGCGCAGGCGCGCUCCCCGCGCCGCCGGAAGUGACGGUUCCGGCCCGUGUCACGUGGAAAAGGAAUGGGGGGACAUCGUGGUGGGGGCUGGGGAUAGGAGUGGAGUCUGGGGUCCGGGUUAGGAACAGGAGGUGGUGCAAACGCGGAUCGGCGGGGCUGCUCGGUUCGGGAUUGUGUGUGUCGCUCUGGGGGUCUUGAAAUGCCGCCAGCGACUUGUCCCACUCGCGGAAACGUCCCGCUUCGAGCCCGUUUUCCAGACUCUGUCCCGAGAGGAUCGGUUUUCCGGGCGCCCCGGAGCGUGGGCGGAGGAGCAACACGGAGCUCGCAGGUUCCCGUAAGACGACUUGCAAAGCCCAGGUGUUCUCGCACUGUACCGGAUGUUUGCUCUCGGAAGCGUUCUGCGGUUCAAGAAUUGCUUAGAAGAGAGCUUUAAAGGCCUUCUGUGUGCCAUGUAGGAGCCGUGCGGUUGUGUUCAGAGCAGCACCGGACCUACUUCUUUGGACAGAUAACAAAGGUGUUUACUGAAACAGCGCCUGCUUGAUGUUCACUGAUAAAGUAGUCCUGAGUCAGCCUCUGAAGAUAAAAGGGCAAUCUUGCACUCUCAGUAACCUCAGUUUGGCAAGGAAAAGGAAUUUAUAUGUUCUUCACAUUUUAUUAAAACAUCCUUUCAUUCUCAUGCAAGUAUAUUAUCUGUUGAGUUCCCAUGUUGGACCCAUAUUUUAGGUCAAGAUGUAAGAACCUUCAGAUCCUUCUCUAGUACUGUGUCUGCAUGCAAGCUACCUUGCUUCCCACCAUGACAAUAAAGGACUAAACCUCUGAACUGUGAGAGAGCUUUGCUUUUAUAAGAGUGGCCAUGGUCAUGAUCUCUUCACAGCAAUGGAAACCCUAAGACAAUGAGCAAUCUUGUUGAGCAUUCAUUAAUAUUUCAUGUUGUCAUUUCUCUAUUCAAAAAAGCAGUACUAAUCACUAAUUCAAUCGCUGUAUUACUAAUAAUUUAUAAAUAUAUUGUAAUUAUGCUCUCAUUAAUAUUUUAAAUUCUAAAACUGCUGUUUUAAAUAAAAUGCAAAAAUUAUGUUGUAGUUGCUCAGAAGUAUUUUAUCCCACCUGCCCAUUAGAAUACAUAUAUUGAGUGUAACAAAAUCAGUUUCAGGGCUUUGCUUUGUUCGGUAUUCAUGAGGAGUAAAUAUGCUUAUAAUAACACUUUCAAGAAAGUAUGUUAUUAUUUGUAAAACACACCC
rnacentral:lncRNA from 1 species